AAAGCACUUUCAGUCAGGAGGAAAGGUUAGUAGUUAAUACCUGCUAGCUGUGACGUUACUGACAGAAGAAGCACCGGCUAACUCCGGUGCCAGCAGCCGCGGUAAUACGGAGGGUGCGAGCGUUAAUCGGAAUUACUGGGCGUAAAGCGUACGCAGGCGGUUUGUUAAGCGAGAUGUGAAAGCCCUGGGCUCAACCUGGGAACUGCAUUUCGAACUGGCAAACUAGAGUGUGAUAGAGGGUGGUAGAAUUUCAGGUGUAGCGGUGAAAUGCGUAGAGAUCUGAAGGAAUACCGAUGGCGAAGGCAGCCACCUGGGUCAACACUGACGCUCAUGUACGAAAGCGUGGGGAGCAAACGGGAUUAGAUACCCCGGUAGUCCACGCCGUAAACGAUGUCUACUAGAAGCUCGGGUCCUCGGACUUGUUUUUCAAAGCUAACGCAUUCANAGUAGACCGCCUGGGGACGUACGGCCGCAAGGUUAAAAACUCAAAUGAAUUGACGGGGGCCCGCACAAGCGGUGGACGCAUGUGGUUUAACUUCGAUGCCAACGCAGAAGAACUUACCUACACUUGACAUACAGAGAACCUUACCAGAGAUGGUUUGGUGCCUUCGGGAAACUCUGAUUCCAGG
rnacentral:rRNA from 1 species